rnacentral:rRNA from 1 species
AUUGAACGCUGGCGGCAGGCCUAACACAUGCAAGUCGAGCGAGCGGCGGACGGGUGAGUAAUGUAUGGGGACUGCCUGAUAGAGGGGGAUAACUACUGGAAACGGUGGCUAAUACCGCAUACUGUCGGAUAACCCAUAUGGGAUUAGCUAGUAGGUAAGGUAAUGGCUUACCUAGGCGACGAUCCCUAGCUGGUCUGAGAGGAUGAUCAGCACCCCUGGAACUGAGACACGGCCCAGACUCCACCGGAGGCAGAAUUGGGGAAUAUUCCACAAUGAUCGCAAGCCUGAUACAGCCAUGCCGCGGGUAUGAAGAAUGCAUUAGGGUUCUAAGGUACUUGCAGUGGGGAGGCGUUACCGGCAGAAGAAGCACAGGCUAACGCCGUGCCAGCAGCCGCGGUAAUAC